GUUAGAACCUUCCUUGGGAUUUCUUAGGAAUGGCCCUGUAAGAAAGCCUCAGUGUCCCUUAGGAAGAAGAGACUGAGUAGAAGUGGGGGGGGAGGCAACAGUAACAGGACCCACCCCUGUCCCAGUGGACAGAAGGAGAGAAUGAGGGAGAACACUUCUUGAUCCACUGGCUUCCCAGCCCCACCUGGAGCUCAGGAGAGGGCUAACUGAUGUGCUAAAAAUGCUGAUGGGUAGAGCCUUGUCUAUGCUAUAGCCUCUACCGGAACUGAGACCCCUGGCAACUGUUUUGAUGAAGUUCUGUUGCUUAUGUGGGCCUUUCACAUAGCAAUAUGGGGAAACUAUUGAAAGAAAUAGGAGAACAUGACUGUAAACCUACAUUUUAAUGAAUUACAUUUGAAGUUGAUAAUGUCCCCUUUUAAAAUAUAAGUCCUUAAAUUACUAAA